rnacentral:rRNA from 1 species
UACGUAGGGUGCGAGCGUUGUCCGGAAUUAUUGGGCGUAAAGAGCUCGUAGGCGGUGUGUCGCGUCGGUCGUGAAAACUUGGGGCUUAACCCUGAGCUUGCGGUCGAUACGGGCAUCACUUGAGUUCGGCAGGGGAGACUGGAAUUCCUGGUGUAGCGGUGAAAUGCGCAGAUAUCAGGAAGAACACCCGUGGCGAAGGCGGCUCUCUGGGACGGUACUGACGCUGAGACGCGAAAGCGUGGGGAGCGAACAGG